rnacentral:tRNA from 1 species
GCCCGAGUAGCUCAGGGGAUAGAGCAGCGGCCUUCUAAUCCGCCGGUCGGGGGUUCGAAUCCCUCCUCGGGCACCC